ACCUAUUGAAUCUCACAACAUAUGUUUGGAUAGCACUUCCCAGCCUACAACGCACUUUCUCAGGGAUUCUCAAACUUCCUCCCACCUCACAUCCUUUUAAGGCAAGUUUUGGAAGAUUCCAGAAAAACAUGAACAAGUGUUUGAGUGCUCUUAAGGGGAUUGUCUAAUAUCUUGGCUCCUGACUCAUCCUUAGAAGUCUUCCAGCCACCUUGUACCCAUUUCAAGCCCAAGGGCUCUUUAACGUAAAUGAGUUACUGAGCAGGGUCUUAGGUGCAGGGAGAUACCAUGAUAAAAGGGCAGACAAUGUUGCUGCCCUCAAGGAGCUGACAUUCUAGUGGAGGAAGACAGAUGCAAAAAGGAAUGUAUGCCCACAUCACACAACUAAAUUGUGGCAUGAUGGAGUUCAACAAAAUAUGGAUACAGAGAGCAAGGUUUGAGGGUAAAUUUAACCAAGGUAGGGUAAUCAGAGGAGCCUGAUCUGAAAAGGCAGGAAUUAAAAUAAGCUCUAAAGGAUUAUUAGAAACUAGGGAGAGAGGAGCUGACUGGUAGAAAUGGGGAGUGUUUCAGGGAGAGCAAAAAGCCCAUUCAAAAACCUCAUGCAAAGAAGAGUUGGGCAAUUUGAAGAAUUGAAAUGAAACUCUAGGACUGGGCACGGAGAAUGUGAAGAAGUGAGGAGGGGUUGGAGCUGGAGAGAUAGGUGGGACUGGAUCCCAUACAACUUGGAAAGAACAGAGAAAGAUCCAGUGCAAAAACUCAUAGGAAAUGAUCAAUUCAUGCCAAGUGAUGAGAACUAGAGAAGAGAGAUGAGAGCAUUGUUCAUACACGAUGGUCUAGGUCUCCUACCCCAAGAGAACUUGCAACAAAGCCCAAAGUACAACAGCCACGUUUAAAGAGAAGAUUCCAUUUCAGCCAGACAACAUGAUUCAUCAUAUUUAUUUAAUAUUGUUAAUUUUAAUGGGACCUGGACUGGAAAAGGAUUGUUUGUGUGGGAAUCAUUCAUGGCAAAGGCAGUGACACCUCCUUCAAAAACCUGUGUCUUUCUGGCAGAGUGUUGCUGGAGAUGGCCACUGGAGAGGCUGAGUCAAAUCAAUCUCCUCACCUGAGGACUUCCUAAGACCAGCGCACUGAAGGACCAGCAGCAACAACAACAAUAAUGCUAAUGCUCCCUUAUGGACAAGACUGCAAUUCUCUGCCUGCUGAAGCUCAGCUAUGACCACGUGACUUGCCUUGGCCAAUGAAAGAGGAAGAGUAUGUAACACUGCUGAAUGGAAGCAAGUGGCCCCUGCCCCUGCUGCAGAGAUUCUAGACAUGUGUGCCAUGCUGGAGCAAG
rnacentral:lncRNA from 1 species